CGCGUAGGCGGACUUUCAAGUCAGGGGUGAAAUCCCGAGGCUCAACCUCGGAACUGCCUUUGAUACUGUAAGUCUUGAGUCCGAGAGAGGUGAGUGGAAUUCCUAGUGUAGAGGUGAAAUUCGUAGAUAUUAGGAAGAACACCAGUGGCGAAGGCGGCUCACUGGCUCGGUACUGACGCUGAGGUGCGAAAGCGUGGGGAGCAAACA
rnacentral:rRNA from 1 species